rnacentral:rRNA from 1 species
UACGGAGGGUGCGAACGUUAAUCGGAAUCACUGGGCGUAAAGCGCGCGUAGGCGGUCCGUUAAGUGGGAUGUGAAAUCCCCGGGCUUAACCUGGGAAUUGCAUUUCAAACUGGCGGACUAGAGUGCGGUAGAGGGAGGUAGAAUUUCCUGUGUAGCGGUGAAAUGCGUAGAUAUAAGGAAGGAAUACCAGUGGCGAAGGCGGCCUCCUGGAUCGACACUGACGCUGAGGCGCGAAAAGCGUGGGGAGCAAACAGGG